rnacentral:rRNA from 1 species
CAAUAGCGUAUAUUAAAGUUGUUGCAGUUAGAACGCUCGUAGUCGGAUUUCGGGGCGGGUCGACCGGUCUGCCGAUGGGUACGCACUGGCCGACGCGUCCUUCCUUCCGGAGACCGUCUCACUCUUAACUGAGCGGAGGCGGGAGACGGAACGUUUACUUUGAAAAAAUCAGAGUGUUUCAAGCAGGCAGCUCGCUCUUGCAUGGAUUAGCAUGGGAUAAUGAAAUAGGACUUUGGUGCUAUUUUGUUGGUUUCGAACACCGAAGUAAUGAUGAGAAGGGACAGUCAGGGGCACUCGUAUUCCGCCGAGAGAGGUGAAAUUCUCAGACCAGCGGAAGACGAACCACUGCGAAAGCAUUUGCCAGGGAUGUUUNCACUG